GGAGAGGUGCCUGAGUGGCCGAAAGGACCAGUUUGCUAAACUGGCGUACGGUUUAGACUGUACCGAGGGUUCGAAUCCCUCUCUCUCCGCAA
rnacentral:tRNA from 2 species